rnacentral:rRNA from 1 species
UACGGAGGGUGCAAGCGUUAUCCGGAUUCACUGGGUUUAAAGGGUGCGUAGGUGGGCAGGUAAGUCAGUGGUGAAAUCCCCGAGCUUAACUUGGGAACUGCCGUUGAUACUAUCUGUCUUGAAUACUGCGGAGGUAAGCGGAAUAUGUCAUGUAGCGGUGAAAUGCUUAGAGAUGACAUAGAACACCAAUUGCGAAGGCAGCUUGCUACACAGUAAUUGACGCUGAGGCACGAAAGCGUGGGGAGCAAACAGG